GAAAUGCGAUAAGUAAUGUGAAUUGCAGAAUUCAGUGAAUCAUCGAAUCUUUGAACGCACCUUGCGCUCCUUGGUAUUCCUUGGAGCAUGCCUGUUUGAGUAUCAUGAAAUCUUCAAAGUAAAUCUUUUGUUAACUCAAUUGGUUUCUACUUUGGUAUUGGAGGUCUUUGCAGCUUCACACCUGCUCCUCUUUGUUCAUUAGCUGGAUCUCAGUGUUAAGCUUGGUUCCACUCGGCGUGAUAAGUUAUCUAUCGCUGAGGACACUGUAAAAGGUGGCCAAGGUAAAUGCAGAUGAACCACUUCUAAUAGUCCAUUGACUUGGACAAUACUUUUAUGAUCUGAUCUCAAAUCAGGUAGGACUACCCGCUGAACUUAAGC
rnacentral:misc_RNA from 1 species